rnacentral:rRNA from 1 species
UACGGGGGGGGCAAGCGUUGUUCGGAAUUACUGGGCGUAAAGGGCUCGUAGGCGGCCAACUAAGUCGGAUGUGAAAUCCCCAGGCUUAACCUGGGAACUGCAUCCGAUACUGGAUGGCUUGAAUCCGGGAGAGGGAUGCAGAAUUCCAGGUGUAGCGGUGAAAUGCGUAGAUAUCUGGAGGAACACCGGUGGCGAAGGCGGCUUCCUGGACACUUACUGACGCUGAGACGCGAAAGCGUGGGGAGCAAACAGG